AGUCUAUUCUCUCUUACUUUUCUCUCAGUUCUUUUGUUUGAUUUUAUUUCGAUUGUUUCAUCUUAUUCACCGCAGGGGUUGAUGCUGAAUCAAAAAGAGAGGUUUAUGGUUCUUUGCUCUAAAGAAGUUGUGAUAUUGGAGGAACAGCUAUCGGGACUUUCUUUUGGAACCUUUUCUUUCGUGAAUAUAAAUCAAGUGGGAUUGCAUGAAGCCAUCAACUAUCUUAUCUAUAAAUUGGUUUGAUAAUAUAAUUUGAAUUUAUAAUUGGAUUCUAAAUUUUCAAGGUUAAAAUCCUCAAAUUUUGUUGGUGGAGAAGAUGUGAUGUUUACUGUCUCAAAUAGGUGUUGCAUCUAAAUCUUCUCAUUCCCAAAUUUUGAGUUUCCUAUGGAUUAACAUUAGUAAAUUAGUUUUGUCUAGGAUUCACAUAUAAAGGAAAUCUGGGUGGCAAGGUUGAAUCAAAAGAAAUAUUAUUAGAAUUUUGUAUCUGAAAAGUUUAUUAAGAAUUCAAUCUAAACAGACAAAGUUGGCCAGUUAUGUGCAUCACCAGGAACAUCAACAACGUGGACCAUUCCCGUUUUAGGCCAACACGGGUUGCACAACCAAAGUAAGGGUUAAUCAUAGCAAUAUCUGAAUUUAUAAGGAUUAUGCAGACCAACAUGGUUCUUCUUCAGUUUUAAGGAUGGUGUGAAUGUGGGAUCAACUGUACCACUCCUCUAUUUAUUCAUGGACCGCUUAUAUGCUCAUUCAGAAAGUAUCACCACCCUUAUAGUUUGUCCUCCAGACAUGAUUGCCUCCAGUGUUUCUGCUAUAUUUUCGGAGUAAUUAUUUUCGUUAUGUUGUUGAUGCGUUUCUUAUGCCCCUUCGUCAGUUGUCCUCAAGACUUUCUUCUGCACCGAAAAAUCAAGGGUCGAGCUAUUUGUUACUGGACAGUCUCUAUGAAAUCUGUAAGUUCCACUUAUUGAUGCAAAUACAAUCAGUAUUGUAUGGUUUAGCUUUCUCAGCAUCUGAAAACAACAAGCUCUUCUCAUUUAGCCUAUGCCUAAAGUGUUAUGUUACAUGUUGCUGUAUCAAUGUGCCAAGUAAUCUAUGGUAUAACUUUUCAUGUUAAUCACCUUCAAACACUAAGCAAAGCACUAGGUGCUGGAGUGAUACCGGUUAGUGCGGUUCUUGCAGACACGAAUGUAACAUUAUGUAUUAAGUGGAACUUAAUUCGGUCUGAAUUGCAUUAUGUUAUAGUAGGGGUUCAGAUGAAUUCGGGAGAUACCUUAACACCACCACCCUGACUAUGUUAUAGAUUGGACUAUUUCUCCAUCCAUAUCAACACCACCACUACGCCUUGCAAGAUGCUCUACGAAUCCUAUUCCUGAUUCCUGGAGGUACUUUGCAGGUUGAUUAUCUCUAGCUCUCUCUUAUUGUGUUUGUGUGCUAUUCUUUAUGCAUAGGCUGUUGAUAUUAGUUUCAUAAAGGUGCUCGGUUUAAUAAGAUGAUCCCAUUGUCUGAAUUGCUAUUAGAAAAGAAGAUCAAGUAAACAACAACUAGAUUUUUGGAUGGAAUGUUUUUCUUAGUCGAUGCUUAACUAAUUCGUUGGAUGUAUUAAAGGAAACCAUCUGGGCGAAGUUCCGAAAUCCUUAACUUAGCUGGUGUUUACGUCAUACUUUUCGGCUGCAAAACAGCUUUAAGUUAUUAACCAAUUCUGGGUAACAUUCUGUAGUAUUGUCCCCGAAAAAUGAUUAUUCAUUCAAUCGCUGCGGAGUGUACAAAUGGCUUUUAAUAUCUGUUGGUCGUCUUUCUUCUUCUGGAUAACAUUAUCACUUUGUUUUUUCUUAUCGAGUGGUUUAUAUAAAUCUGUAGAUUGUAGAUCUUUAAAGCCCUAAGUAUGCUUCAGUUGUUGAUUUAAACAUGAGUAAACUUGGUUUAUAACGACUGUAAGAAGGUAAUAUACAUAGACAAGAAUAGGGUUUAACUAUCAAAGGAAGGGGUUCAUUUCAUUAACCAAGUCAACACGGCUCUGCCGUAAUGUGAAUUAGACUUGCGGAACUAUGCAUUUCAAAUCUUAAGGUUCCUCUGCUUUGAUAUAUUGGUGAGGCGAUUGAUGUUUACUGUUUUCACUUCUACGGCUACUAAAGGACUACCAUAGGCUUAUUGUGUGUUAUGUAAGGUAAUGCAGGUUAUUUCAAUUGAUAUCACAUGCCUUAAUGCUGGAUCAUGGAUAGUCUAAAAAAAAUUGAAAAUGACAGCAAACAAUCACUAGAAAAUAAUUUUCUUGAUAUUUUUAUCUAAUAGCUGUACUUGAAUUAAUUAGGAUGAAGAAAACCAUUAGUAAAAUUCAAAAUGCAUGUAUCUUUUCUACAUUGUCUAAUCUUGAUUUACACUACAAGAUGGGCCUAUAGUAACAAUUUUUUUCUCGGUGUUUUUCUCAGUGAAUUUGGGAUAAUAUUCUAGGAAUUGUUACUCUUUAGAUUAUGGGUUGGUCUUUCACUGAUUUUGGUAAUUUGCUUUUGCAGAUGCGAGGUGUAUACUAAAUUAUCUAAGCUCAUUUGUUUGCAAUUAUCUAUCGGUUGUCAUAGUACUGAUUGAACACCCUCAUUUAUUUAUUUAUAACUAUAGAAAGAUAAGCGGUCAUUUUAUGUUUGUGUAGUUAUGUUCUAAAAUAGGCGCCAAUGGACCAACAUUAAAUGGAUCUUUACUUGAUUACUAACAUUUAGCAGCAUAAAGAUGGUCAGCGUCAUUUAAUUAUUAGAUUGUUAAGAGUUUAUCAUUUAUCUCUGAUCUUCCUCUUUGUGUGGUAGAACCACUGCAUUAAUCAUGGACCAGUGUGUGAACAAGAAUCAAAAAGAAAAGCAAUGGGGGGAAAUGCGUGAAGCAUAGCUUUUACUGAUCCUGAUUUUCUCAGAGGUUUACACCAAGCGGUCAAUAUAAUUCAUUGGUUCUGUUUUGCAGGAGCUUUGUUGCUCAAGUAUAAUAAUCCAUAUUAUGUUUGUUCAUCGACUACUACAGUAAAACCAAAUAAAAGUGGUAUCAAGCGCAGUCGUAACACCACCAACCUCAGGGGGAGAAUGCAAGCUAGCCACUGCUGCAGAAUGUGGUUAGAACCAAUGGGACUUGCCUAGGAGUUGAGGUACACCAGCGCCAAACCUGUGUACAUCACAGGGUGUUCUUCAUUUUGUUAGGCCUUACAGUACUGAGUCCGUACACAUCUGCAUACAACCAUGCAGGGUCAAUGCCUCAAUAUGGCAAGCUACAACCGUCCGCAUACAGCCACAUGUGUAUACAACCAUCUAUACGCAUAUAGCAAUAAAUUUAACAAUCCCCGUGCGGAAAGUAAAGCUCCGAGGACGCUGGCGUACACAAUUAAGCAAGGAACAUCAUACCACAGGAUGCUCAAGAUUCAUACCGCAGGAUACUCGAGAUAAUAACUACUUCACCAAUCGCAGGAUGCUCGGGAUAACAAUUACUUCGCCAACCAUACCGAACUUAAGCUGCCCGCGGUUGAGUAUGGAUUUAACUUUUUUGCAGAAUCCUGAAAUGUCGACCUCCAAAGAUUUUCAGAAACCCUCAACCAUUAUCAGAAACCCUUGACCAUUGUCAGAAACCCUCAACCUCCUAAGAGUUUCAAAAACCCUAAACCAUUGUCAAGAAGCACCAAUGCACUCAUGGUACCGUUAGCUACACAGCAGAACACAAGCCUUCCCCAUGUGUAUUUUCAACUUCAUGAAUCAAUCAUUUGUUAACGCAAUUCUGGAGAUCUAGGCACCAUGGAAAAUACAAUGGUUCCUCGGCAUACUCCCAGUUGUGAACUAUAGAGAGAUACCCACCUAAGUAUAGGUAAUUUUCUAAUAAAGUUUGAUGAAGUGGUUCUGGGCUUCAUUGUAAUUGACAUGUUAAUCAGUGUUAUAAGAAAGAGAAUCACUUGAUAUCGGGCUAAUGCUAAACUGAAUGUAAUGCACAAUGUGGGGUUUUAGUCUGUUUUUUUCAUCAUUUUUGAAGAUUAUGUGAUUUCUAAAAAAAAAUCAUUAUUUGGUUUUUCUUUCA